CAGCAGCGGAAGACUCCGACUUU
rnacentral:piRNA from 1 species